GACACUCUAGUGUCUCAAAAUGUAAGAAAUGAAAGGAGUGAGCUCUAUCAGCAAAAUGAAUUCCUGGGAAGAGAAAGUAAAAGUGAUACAAAGUCCAGGAAGGUCCCCACACUGCUUUUCUUUUGCAAGCACUUGCAGGCGUUGCAUGAGGUUUCAGUGGCCUUCCCAGCCACCCUUCAGCCUUCGGGGGAUCUGAGCAGCAAGACACGAGCAAGCCUCCUAAAAGUGCAGCCUGGAGGAUGGGUCAGCAUCUGGAGAGGCUCCUACCACAGCUUCUGGCAGGGCUGUAGGUUCUCCAGCUCGGUUUGUGCUUCCCUGCCUCUUCCUACAUCUGUCCCCCAGCCCAGCUGCAGCACAAAGCCAGGGACUAAGAGGAACAAGAAAGGCAGCUCCGCGCCUCGGAAGCAGGGACCGUCUCUUCCCAAAUUCUGUCCUUGCCGCCACCCUGGCAUCGAGAGCAGAAGUACAGAAGUACUUCAUCAGCACUUGAAGGCGGCAGGAAGGUCACGCAGAGCCCGGCCAGCCUUCAGCAGAGGGGCUCGGCGUGCCAGGGACGUAUUUAGCCCCGCGUGCUCGCAGCUCGGCUGCCGGUGCUCAGCAUGGGAGGCUCGGCCAGGCUCAGCCCCGCGGCAGGCAGCGAGGAGCUUUCUGCCCUCUUGUCUGCAAUGGGCACACAUGGGGCACACUUUUGAGGAGCCCUUCCCCAAAUUGAAGGCUUCGGGGUCUUGUUUCUCAGCGCCACAACCUGUUCCAGACGUUCGCCCCCUCUGCUGCCCAAGCUCCUGCCCUCUCCUCGCAGCACCGCUCGCCUGCGGUGGUGCCGGGUCACGAUCCCGCGCUGCCCGCGAGCGGAGGAGAAAGGCCGGCAUUGUUGUCAGCAGUGCUUUGCAGAGCCAGUCACCGCCUUGUUUUCGGGGCUUUUCACCGGGGAGGGAAGCAGCGAGGAGAACAAGGGGCUGCGCGGCGCUGGGGUCGGUGCCACGAGGGGCAGCUCGUGAGCCAAAGGCUCUGCAGGAGCACGAAGCGGCGUGGCAGGACGCCGCCGUCUCUCAAGUUCAUCGGGAACAGACCGCAUCUGACACCCAGCCGGGAGCUGCCCCCCGUCCUCUGCGGGACAAGGACACCCCAGGGACCUCGCCGGCUGCAGAGGGUGCCCGGGAGCGCUGCCGGGGCAGUGGCUGCGUCAGGGCUUUCUCCGAUUUUCCCACUUAUUUCUCCAGAUUAUUUUCCGGCCACGUCCCUGGUGGGGCUCUGCGGGGCACUGGGAGCCCUCAGGGGCCAUAAAAGCACCAGGGUGGGGAGGGAACCAAAGGGAAACCGUCCCUAGAGCCCUGGCCAGGACGGGGCAGAGCGGGGACAGGCGGGGGUGAGCACGGUGUCUGGGGUUGCCCUAAUGUGUCCUAGGGGUGCCGAGGUGGCUGUGGUGUCCCUGGGGUGACCAUGACGUCCCAGACGUGACCGUGGUGUCCUAGGGACGACAGAGGUGUCCUGGGGCUGGCUGUGGUACCCAAAACCAGCCAGAUUUCUCAGGGCUGGGAACACCCCGGGGGGGGCUGCGGUGUCCCAGGGUGGCCGUGACACAUUGGGGACACGUUUAUGACACAAGGGAACGGUCUCAGGGAGCACCAGGAGGGGUCUAGGGGGGACAUCCAGCAGAAUUCCUUCAUGGGGGGCAGCAGUGGAGUCCCCAGCCCCAGAGGGUGAAAUCACCCCAGGCAGACCCCGUCCCCACUGCCUUGGGGACAACCCUGAGCGCGGCCACCAGCCGGCCUCCUGCUGACACCUGCGGGCGAGCGAGUGUCCCUGCAUGUCACCCUGCCCCUUAAUGUCACCCUGUCCCUCUGUGUCACCCUGCCCCUUAAUGUCACCCUGCCCCUUAAUGUCACCCUGUCCCUCUGUGUCACCCCGCCCCUUAAUGUCACCCCGCCCCUUAAUGUCACCCCGUCCCUGCAUGUCACCCUGUCCCCAUGUCCCCGUCCUAAACACCACCCCCUCCCGCGUGUCGCCCUCCCACACGUCACCACAGCCUUGGGGACGCCUUGGGGACAGCGGGGACCGGGCUCCCUGCCCCAUGGCACAGGGGACACGCAGCCUGUGCCACCCCAUAGGGCUGACCCCACCUGGCUGCUGCGCCCCCAGGGGUGGACCCCUGCCCCGGGCGUGGCGCGGGACGGUGACAUCCCAGUGUUGUCCCCAUCCGUGUCCCCAUCCGUGUCCCUAUUACUGUCCCCAGAGCCCAUGGCGGUGCCACUGGGCGAUGCCAGGAGCUGCUGGGGGUUGAGACGAGGGGGCUGGAGCUGGUGGGCAGCGGGGGGGGGACCCCAACCCAGGGGGCACCCCAGACCCCAGCCACCGCCCCCUCCACCUCCCCAUCAUCUCCUCCAUCCCUCACCCCCCCCUGCACCCCCAAAAACCAUCUCCCACCCCCAUCCCUUUCUCCA
ensembl:lncRNA